rnacentral:tRNA from 1 species
GGAGAGAUGGCUCAGUGGUUAAGAGCACUGACUGUUCUUCCCAAGGUCCUGAGUUCAAGUCCCAGCAUCCACA